UACGGAGGGUGCAAGCGUUAAUCGGAAUUACUGGGCGUAAAGCGUGCGCAGGCGGUCCGCUAAGACAGAUGUGAAAUCCCCGGGCUUAACCUGGGAACUGCAUUUGUGACUGGCGGGCUAGAGUAUGGCAGAGGGGGGUAGAAUUCCACGUGUAGCAGUGAAAUGCGUAGAGAUGUGGAGGAAUACCGAUGGCGAAGGCAGCCCCCUGGGCCAAUACUGACGCUCAUGCACGAAAGCGUGGGGAGCAAGCAGG
rnacentral:rRNA from 1 species